CUCAGUUCGGACUGCAGGCUGCAACUCGCCUGCACGAAGUUGGAAUUGCUAGUAAUCGUGGAUCAGCAUGCCACGGUGAAUACGUUCCCGGGUCUUGUACACACCGCCCGUCACACCAUGGGAGCCGGUAAUACCCGAAGUCAGUAGUCUAACCGCAAGGAGGACGCUGCCGAAGGUAGGAUUGGCGACUGGGGUGAAGUCGUAACAAGGUAAC
rnacentral:rRNA from 1 species